rnacentral:rRNA from 1 species
AGCGAACGCUGGCGGCAGGCCUAACACAUGCAAGUCGAACGAAGCCUUCGGGCUUAGUGGCGGACGGGUGAGUAACACGUGGGAACGUACCUUUUGGUUCGGAACAACUCAGGGAAACUUGAGCUAAUACCGGAUGAGCCCUUAGGGGGAAAGAUUUAUCGCCGAAAGAGCGGCCCGCGUUAGAUUAGCUAGUUGGUGAGGUAAAGGCUCACCAAGGCAACGAUCUAUAGCUGGUCUGAGAGGAUGAUCAGCCACACUGGGACUGAGACACGGCCCAGACUCCUACGGGAGGCAGCAGUGGGGAAUCUUGCGCAAUGGGCGAAAGCCUGACGCAGCCAUGCCGCGCGAGUGAUGAAGGUCUUAGGAUUGUAAAAUUCUUUUACCAGGGACGAUAAUGACGGUACCUGGAGAAAAAGCCCCGGCUAACUUCGUGCCAGCCGCCGCAGUAAUAC